rnacentral:miRNA from 1 species
AUACAGGAUACCCAGCUGAAUUUGAAUUUCAGAAUUUAGACAAUUUCUUUAGCAUAAGUUUAUCCCAUGUAAUAUUUGGGACAUACUUAUACUAAAAAAGUAUUUAUUAUUUAUCUGAAAUUCAAAUUUAACUGAGUGUCUUGUUUUUU